rnacentral:rRNA from 1 species
GAUGAACGCUGGCGGCGUGCCUAAUACAUGCAAGUCGAGCGAACAGACGAGGCGCUUGCUCCUCUGACGUUAGCGGCGGACGGGUGAGUAACACGUGGAUAACCUACCUAUAAGACUGGUAUAACUUCGGGAAACCGGAGCUAAUACCGGAUAAUAUAUUGAACCGCAUGGUUCAAUAGUGAAAGUCGGUUUUGCUGUCACUUAUAGCUGGAUCCGCGCCGCAUUAGCUAGUUGGUAAGGUAACGGCUUACCAAGGCUACGAUGCGUAGCCGACCUGAGAGAGUGAUCGGCCACACGGGAACUGAGACGCGGUCCAGACUCCUACGGGAGGCAGCAGUAGGGAAUGUUCCGCAGUAGGCGAAAGCCUGACGGAGCAACGCCGCGUGAGUGGUGAAGGUCUUCGGAGCGUAAAACUCUGUUAUUAGGGAAGAACAAAUGUGGAAGUAACUAUGCACGUCUUGACGGUACCUAAUCAGAAAGCCACGGCUAACUACGUG